AGCUAAUUGAGUGCAUUUUGGAGCCUGUGGGACUUCAUGUGUUACCUUCCCUCCGGUGGCAAAUGACAUCCCUCAAACUGCAACUCAAUUUCCUGAAUUCCCUCCUCCUCGAUUUCACAUGAAGCCCCAGUGACACCUCUCACUUCUGACCUACUUUUUUAUGGUUAUCUCUUCCCACAAAAUGCAUCAUUCUGUAUUGAAAAACCCUGAAGAACUUUUUACAUAUGUCCUUUCAUGCGCACACUUAGAGGUCCAGCAGCUACCUGAUUCGGACCUGCAGUGGACACGCUAUCAAGAUAGUCUAAAAAUCGUACUAGGUUAUCUACUGCUGUAUUUUGUCAUGAGAGCAAAAAGAGAAAUAUGAAACUCAACCAUGUCACUUGCAUUCCAUGUCAUUUUCCUGAAGUGAUAGUUCAAUGCAGUAUUGUCCUCUCCCAUCUUCUGACUUAAACCUGAGCAGAUACAUAUUGUUAAAAAGCAAGGGCAUUGCAAACAAGUUGCCUCUGUGAGGACUAAAUUACUUUCUGCUAUUCUAAUGAUCAUGUUUUUUUACUGUGUUUUAUGUUAACACUUUUGAGAUGCCCAAAGGAAUAAUUUCUAUUGGCUCUCUCAUUCUGAGAAAUUAUCUUUAUAACUGAGGCAUGAUAGUCUGCUUGGGGACUGUUGGAAAUAUGAGGCAGAUUUAAUCACACCUGCACAGAACCAUGCGGUAGAAAGACCUUUGCGAUAUGCAUCCACUGGCAGCCGGAGUGGCUCAAGCAAAUGACAAGAAGCAAGAAAAUUUUCAUUGCUAAUGUAGCUCACUUUCGGAUAUCUUCGUGCUUGUUUAUGGAAGCAUGGUUUUAAUCCCCCAAAAGUCCAAAGCAAACAUUCUCCUUGAAAAUCUUCCAGAGGCAGCAGAAGUCUUCAGAAAAUUGGACACCGGUCCAUGGAGAUCCUCCUGUGCAAAAGGAACAAUGGGACAACCUUACGAGGCUGGGAGACCGACUGAUAAGCCAAAGCAACAACUGCUACUUCUACCAUGCCUUCAUUGAGCUGUUUCUCAAUAGCAGCUGUGGCACGCUGUCCGUGCACUUCUCCACAGGGCUGUUCUACAAAGACACAGCCAGGCAGCAGUCACGCUGGAUGGCGUCGGUAAUCAGGGUUUAGGCAGUGCUUGGCUCUGACAGCCCAGAGUAGGAGGAUCAAACUGUUGGGACCCUCCGCAGCGAUCUGCUCUUUCAAGAUAAGCUUUUGCUGAAUGGUGUGGAUGUAAAAAUUAAGCUGAUGCACAGCAAAGAGAGCUUUUGUUUGAUGAACUGUCUGGCAGCAGGGGUCUGCAAGCUGUUUGUGAAGAAAGAGUGGGUGGCACUUGGGGUGCAUUUCGGACAUGCUGAGGCUUUACUUACAGCCAGCACUGAAUCCCAGAGGACCUAAUGCUGAGAUUCCUGUGAUACUCGUACUUAGUAAAAGCUUUCUCAAUUUCA